rnacentral:lncRNA from 1 species
AUGCAAGAGCUAAUGCACCUGGGGGACUCCUUGCUUCAGGGCACUGCCAACAGAAGAAGGGUAACAAAGUUAAGGAAGCAAUUAAGAAACCGAUGUCGAUGCUCCAAGGGAGGUUGGCUCUUUGGUGAAGCCACGGGGCACAGAGGUGAGAUUUCACCCCCCUGUGCCACCGUGGGAACUUGCAGAAUUGCUGCCUCCGAGUCCUCCUGGGCCUGUAGGACAUUAAACUGUCCUCUGGCUGCACCCUGCUGCCUGGGGCAUCGCUGUGCCCGUCCAGCCUCAGCUUCUGGCCUGGAAUUGGGGCAGAAAGCACACGGUGGCCUCUCCACUCUGACGCUGCAAAGCAAGAGCAAGGGGAGCAGGACACCCCCAGAGCCCACAGCAAGCAGGGAGCAAAAAAACAAAGCCCGAGCAUCCAAGCAGGCAGCUCUGGCUCUGUCCUGCAUCCCCGGGGUCACGGUUAUCGCUGCCCUGGGGACAGGGCCAGCCUUGCCCACCGUGCCAGCAAAACCCCACGGGAUGGGGAGCGCAGCAGCGGGCUGGUGGCGGUGCGAUGCGUGCUGGUGGCGAGGAGCGGUGAGCCGGCGGUGUGGUGGAGUUUUGUCAGCACCGUGUGGAAGAGCUGCGGCACUGCACGCUGCAGACCAGCCAGACGUGGCCCAAAAGCAUCCCCAAAUAAUUGCAAAACCUUCCGUGAGCUGGCUCAGAGCUAACACCGGGCACCGGGCAAUGGCCCCACGCUUCUGCGCUCCCGGUGCCAGGUCUGGUGGAGGGCAGGAGAGAAGGGCUGGGGGGAGCCGAGCAGCCCCCAUGUCCUUCCAGGAGCCUCCCCACCCUCAGCCUGGCUGGUUUCUCACAGCUCCAAAGCCAGAAUUCAAUUGGAAGCAAAGUCAAAGUGUUCAAAGGCUUCAAAAAUCUCCGCACUUGGCUCAACCAGGCACGGGGAUGCCCCUGUUCCUGCCCCAGCUCGUGCACCAGCUCGCCCCAGAGCAGCCUCCCUGCUCCCCCGUGCUAUUUCCCAUGGGUGCACACUGA